rnacentral:lncRNA from 1 species
GAAGAAUCAGAGGAGAAGGGACGGAAGGCCUCGGAAAUCUCCUGCCCUGGGAGAAGCCAGCUGCCAUAUCAUGAGAACGUGUAAGCAUCCUUGAGGAGCGGUCCAUGUGCUUUCCAGUGACUGCAGCCCUGGCCAACCUCUUGAUGGCCUCCUCAUGAGAGCUGAUGAGCCAGGACCACCCAGUGAAGCCAUUCCUGGAUUCGUGUCCUGCAGACACGGUGCAGCAGGUACUGGGGACUGGUUGCCACCAUUACAGCAUUAGUUGGUGCUAUAGACUGAAUUCUCUGUGCAUGCACCAAGCAAAGGCCAUGUGAGGACAUACCAGGAAAAGGCCCUCACCAGACACCAAAUCUGC